rnacentral:rRNA from 1 species
UACGGAAGGCAGCAGUGGGGAAUAUUGCACAAUGGGCGCAAGCCUGAUGCAGCCAUGCCGCGUGUAUGAAGAAGGCCUUCGGGUUGUAAAGUACUUUCAGCGGGGAGGAAGGGAGUAAAGUUAAUACCUUUGCUCAUUGACGUUACCCGCAGAAGAAGCACCGGCUAACUCCGUGCCAGCAGCCGCGGUAAUACGGAGGGUGCAAGCGUUAAUCGGAAUUACUGGGCGUAAAGCGCACGCAGGCGGUUUUGUUAGUCAGAUGUGAAAUCCCCGGGCUCAACCUGGGAACUGCAUCUGAUACUGGCAAGCUUGAGUCUCGUAGAGGGGGUAGAAUUCCAGGUGUAGCGGUGAAAUGCGUAGAGAUCUGGAGGAAUACCGGUGGCGAAGGCGGCCCCUGGGACGAAGACUGACGCUCAGGGU